rnacentral:rRNA from 1 species
AAUUUUGGUCAAUGGUGGAAACCCUGAUCCAGCAAUCCCGCGUGUAUGCUGAAGGCCUUCGGGUUGUAAAGUACUUUUGACAGAGAUGAAAAGGUAUCUCCUAAUACGAGAUACUGCUGUCGGUAUCUGCUGUAUAAGCACAGGCUAACUACGUGCUAGCCGCCGCGGUAAUACGUAUGGCCCAAGCGUUAAUCGGAAUUACUGGGCGUAAAGCGUGUGUAGGCGGAUCGGAAAGAAAGAUGUGAAAUCCCAGGGCUCAACCUUGGAACUGCAUUUUUAACUGCCGAGCUAGAGUAUGUCAGAGUGGGGUAGAAUUCCACGUGUAGCAGUGAAAUGCGUAGAUAUGUGGAGGAAUACCGAUGGCGAAGGCAGCCCCCUGGGAUAAUACUGACGCUCAGACACGAAAGCGUGGGGAGCAAACAGG